rnacentral:lncRNA from 1 species
ACACACCCCUGAUUCCAGAAACACAACAGGAGCUGACUCAAAAGGUCUGGAAGAGUUAGAAAGGGGAAAGAUGACACAAGCAAUAGUGAAGGCUAGUGGAGGGAAGUGGGGCUUUCGUCCAAGGAAGCAAAAAAUCAUAAUGUGUUAUUUUUUAGGGAGUGUCUGGUGCAGGCAUGCAGGGAGGAAGAAUGACUCUGAGCUUGACCAUUCAACUUCGAAACUUUAACAUCAAUGGAUCAGCACACACUGGUGUACGGUCUGCUAUGCAUGCAGCCCUGUGCUAGGCAAAAGAAGUAUCAGACCAGGAACUGACAGCCUCACUGCAACAGGAAGAGAGGCUUCACACAAUAAGCGUUUCAUUCAACCAGGCUGGACCUGUGCUUAUUGAGUUGAACAUCACUGAGCACAAAAUGCAAGCCAGACACCAUAAGAGCUGUAAGGAUGAUAAAGAUGUCUUUCUACCCUCGAGAGCUCUAAGUGUGGUCAGGAGAGAAACACAUGCAAAGAUUAUGCUGGCUGGAAGGAAAUGCUGGAAUGAAGGUGGAAGCAUUCUAUUCAUCUAAAAGCACCGGUAAUUAACGAUGCUAAUAAAUGUAUAAUCCCUUUGUAAACAU